rnacentral:rRNA from 1 species
UGCCAGCAGCCGCGGUAAUACGGAGGGAACUAGCGUUGUUCGGAAUUACUGGGCGUAAAGCGCGCGUAGGCGGCUUAUCAAGUCAGGGGUGAAAUCCCGGAGCUCAACUCCGGAACUGCCCUUGAAACUGGUAAGCUAGAAUAUUGGAGAGGUAAGUGGAAUUCCGAGUGUAGAGGUGAAAUUCGUAGAUAUUCGGAAGAACACCAGUGGCGAAGGCGACUUACUGGACAAUUAUUGACGCUGAGGUGCGAAAGCGUGGGGAGCAAACAGGAUUAGAUA